UACGAGAGGCCCAAACGUUAUUCGGAAUUACUGGGCUUAAAGAGUUCGUAGGCGGCAUUGCAAGUAGGGUGUGAAAGCCCUCGGCUCAACCGAGGAAUUGCGCUCUAAACUGCAGUGCUAGAGGAACCUAGAGGUGAGCAGAACAGAUGGUGGAGCGGUGAAAUGCGUUGAUAUCGGAAGGAACACCGGUGGCGAAAAGCGGCGGCUCUGGUCCUCUUCUGACGCUGAGGCGCGAAAGCCAGGGGAGCAAAACGGG
rnacentral:rRNA from 1 species